AGUGAACGCUGGCGGUGUGCCUAACACAUGCAAGUCGAACGGCAGCACAAUAAGAGCUUGCUCUUAAGGUUGGCGAGUGGCGGAUGAGUGAGGAGUGCAUCGGAAUCUACUUUUUCGGGGGGGAUAACGUAGGGAAAGUGACGAUAAUGCAGAAUAUGACGUACGGGUUGAAGCAGGAGAGAAUGGGAGCUUGCGCGUCUGAAAGAGACGAUGUCGGAUUAGCUAGUUGGCGUGGUAACGUCCCACCAAGGCGACGAUCCGUAGCUGUCCUGAGAGGAUGAUCGGCCACACUGGAACUGAGACACGGUCCAGACUCCUACGGGAGGCCGCAGUAGGGAAUCUUGUUCAAUGGGCGGAAGCCUGAUCCAGCCAUACCGCGUUGGUGAAGAAGGCCUUCGGGUUGUAAAUCCCUUUUGUUAGGGAAGAAAAGCUGCAGAUGGAUCUCCGCAUGUUUUGACGGUACCUAAAGACAAAGCACCGGCUAACUUCGUG
rnacentral:rRNA from 1 species